AUUGAAUUAGCAUAAUUUAAUGUAUUUGUUUUAAGCGCAAAAGAUUUUAUUCAAUU
rnacentral:tRNA from 2 species